rnacentral:rRNA from 1 species
GAUGAACGCUAGCGGCAGGCCUAACACAUGCAAGUCGAGGGGCAGCAUAAUGAAUACUUCGGUAUUUAUGGUGGCGACCGGCGGACGGGUGCGUAACGCGUAUGCAACCUACCUAUAACAGGGGGAUAAUCGAGAGAAAUUUUGUCUAAUACCCCGUAAUACUUAAUGUGGCAUCAUAUUAAGUUGAAAGAUUUAUUGGUUAUAGAUGGGCAUGCGUAACAUUAGAUAGAUGGUAAGGUAACGGCUUACCAUGUCAAUGAUGUUUAGGGGAACUGAGAGGUUAAUCCCCCACACUGGUACUGAGACACGGACCAGACUCCUACGGGAGGCAGCAGUGAGGAAUAUUGGUCAAUGGAAGGAAUUCUGAACCAGCCAUGCCGCGUGCAGGACGACGGCUCUAUGAGUUGUAAACUGCUUUUGUAAAGGAAUAAAAAAGGGGACGUGUCCUCUCUUGCAUGUACUUUACGAAUAAGGAUCGGCUAACUCCGUGCCAGCAGCCGCGGUAAUACGGAGGAUUCGAGCGUUAUCCGGAUUUAUUGGGUUUAAAGGGUGCGUAGGUUGUAAUUUAAGUUAGUGGUCAAAUGUAGUGGCUUAACCAUUUAUUCGCCAUUAAUACUGAAUUACUGGAGUAUGUAUGCAGCAGGCGGAAUGUGUAGUGUAGCGGUGAAAUGCUUAGAUAUUACACAGAACACCGAUUGCGAAGGCAGCUUGCUAAACCAUAACUGACACUGAUGCACGAAAGCGUGGGUAGCGAAACGGGAUUAGAUACCCCGGUAGUCCACGCAGUAAACGAUGAUAACUCGUUGUCGGCGAUAUACCGUCCGGUGACCAGCCAAAGCGAUAAGUUAUCCCCUGGGGAGUACGACCCCAGGGUUGAAACUCAAAGGAUUGACGGGGGCCCCCACAGCGGAGGAACAUGUGGUCUAUUCCAUGAUCCCCAGAACCUUACCGGCUGAAGUUAUGCCAUUCAAAUUGAUUUCC